rnacentral:lncRNA from 1 species
AUGCAAAGACAAUUCCAAGAAGCAGAAGCACAACACCAGGAAGUUGAAAACAGUGCUGAAAAGUCAAAAGAACAUCUGACAAUCUGCAAUUCAAAGCUUGAAUGUGAAAAUUCCAAGUUAAAGGAAAUAAUCAAAAAACAAGAGGGUACAAUUGAACAUCUUCAGGAAAAUCUCACAAGACUAAUUUCAGUAAGUCCAUCUCUUAAUGUCUGCCUUAGCACAUGGAGUCUUUAGUUUCUAAUUGGAAAUUGUGAGAAAAUUUUUGAUAAUGUGAAAAGCUUCAUCAAUAAAUAAUUUAAUGUAUUCA